AUAUGAAGAAUGUUCCAGCCAACUUUCCAAGAAAUCGACAACGCUGAAACGCCAAGAUGCAGUAGUCGAGCUUAACAAUCUGGUCAACCAAGCGUUACAAGUGAUUGAGCACAUCCUUGAGUUGGAGAAACUAAUUUCUGGUGAUCGAGACAGUGAACCAAAAUUGGCGAGGGUAAUUAUGGAUACCCCAUUUAAUGCCUUCUGGUCAAUCAUAACUCUUGUAGCUUGCACAACUGAGCUCUCACUUCUUACCGGUGACGAGUAAGUUCUUGUACUAAUUUUUCUAUUAAGAUUUGAUAAAAGAAAAACAAAAACAUUUCUUCUUGCCAACUACGUAUACGGGUUUUAUGUGUGUGUGUGUGUAAAACUAAAAGGGUUCUUUUGUUAAAAUCUAUAUUUGACAGUGUUUUUGUGAUGUAAUUUCUAAGAACAAGGAAUGAAGAACAACACAGAGAAUUUCAGAGAGAAUUGUAGGAGCUAAUCGUAGCUGCACUGCAAGAUAUUUUCAUUGAUUCAAACAUUGGUUGUUUGUACAAUCUUAUCUCUUCUUCUUCACUACAAAACAAAGACAACUAGCUAAAAGCAAUUUAAGCCCUUCAAUUAGGAAACUAAUAUGGUGCAUACAAUUGUCCUAUGAGACUAAGUCCACACCUUACCCACUAACAUAAAUUAAAACUAGCCACCCCCCAAAUUUAAAACUGGCAGAUUUCUUACAAUCCAAACUUUCGGGGACAUUAAGUCAAAUUUGCUAUAAUCCAAAUUUAAAACUGGAUUUCUUGCAGUUAAAACAUCUUGAAGGUUUGGUAUAUUAUAAAUUUGCUAAUUAUAUCUGACUAUCAUUUGAUUUGCUCUUAAAUUAUUUCAGGGACAUUAAGUCAUAUGAUCUAUCCCCUUUUUCUCAAAAAAUGGGCUUCAUCCUCAACAAGCUUGAUGGACAGCUUACAAUCUGCCAACAAGAAAAAGGUCGGUUGUGGAUGCAUGAUAUGACUCCCGAGGGACAUUAUAUAUUGCAUUUGCCAUUAGUCCAAUAUUGUUGAAUCUAUUUUAUUUUUCUAAUUAAUACAGAGGAGGCAAAGGCCAAGGAAAAGUUUUGGGAACUUAUACGCACUGCCCCUCCUGAAAUUACCGAGGUUUUCCAAAGGCUGGUUCUUUUCAAGCAUAAAGCGUAUCCGCAGCCUCCCAUCAUCAGUGUUAAUCCCACUAGCAAGGAGGUUUGGUCCCCUAGCACAUUGAUUUUCUUCGUAUCUGUAUAUACUACUACUCAGCAACUUAUUUAAUUGUAGUUAUCUUCCUUAUUUUUUGGGUAAUCUGGGGAGGGGGGCGAACACCAAAAACACCUUGUUUGAUAUCCUAUUUGAAAUUUUUUAUAAUUUCUCAAAACAUUUCUUAAGAACUUUUCUUGAAAACAAUUUUCUUUAAGACUCAAAAAUGGUAUCCUAUUUUAGUUGUUGUUUUUUUUUUAACCUGUGUUUUUAAGACUCAAAAAUUCUUCUCUCUGUGAAUAAGCAGUCUCCAGCACCACCGUUCAAAUCACAUCUGAGACUCCAACAAACACACAAACCUCAUACCAAAAACACAGGUUCAACCUUGCAGCUCCAACACCGAUUUCUACCCUCUCAUCUUUCUUCACGGUCUCCCCUCUCCCUAUAGUUUCUCACUACCCAGUACCCGUUUCUUUAAUUUUGCAUCAGAAAUUAAGGAAAAUAAGGAAAGAUAAAUCGUAUUUAUUAAAUAAAAAACGAUACAUCCAAAUGAAAAUUUAAAUCACUCUGGACUUCAGCUCGAAAUAAUCACCCGGGAUUGAAUCCAAAAUACCAACAAUCAUAUUUAUCCUUCCGCCGUCAAGCUCCGCACCAGAAAGACAUCGUUUCCUCCAUAAGAUCCAAAAGAGAGACCAUACGACGGAAACUACGGAGAUGAGGAAAAACUUAAUGUAUCUGUCAGUGUACUCUUCCCACAAAAUCUGAUGGAAGCAACGAGCGAAGCAGAGCACAAACGACAGAAUUGAAAGACGUUCAAGAAGUUGAAGUUAUCAGAUGCAGUGACAGUGCGAGACAAAGUCUACCUAGGACAUUGAUUUUUUUCAUAUAUGUAAUACUACUCAGAAACUUAUUUAAUUGUAGUUAUCUUCUUUUAUCUAUUUUUCACGUACAGGUUUUUAACAUCGAUGCGCUAAGGGGGAAGUGUGUGUUAUUUUACAUUUCAAGCCUGGACAAUGUUUCUGAUCAAGAUAUUUUAUGUCUCAAAGAAGUGUAUGAGGGAAUCGAUAGGCAUAACAAGCGUGCGAUUGUGUGGAUCCCUGUUGUUGAGGACUGGACCGAAGGAGGAGAAGAGCAGUUUAAGGAAUGGAGGUCUAAGAUGCCAUGGUACGCGGUGCAAUAUUUUUUGCCCCCGGCCAUUGGGUACCUUGAGCAGCGGUGGAACUUCAAAGGUAAUCCUAUGGUGGUCGUGAUGAACCAGACCGGAAUUGUGGUAAACACCACCAUAAUCGACUUGAUUCGGACACAAGCAACGGAGGCAAUCGCUUUGCUUAACCUUGAGCGGCGGGUGCACAUCAGAGGUAAUCCUCACGAAGAGGACCCGUCGUGGAUCCUCCUGGCCAGUGGACCAUUUAAUUCAAGGUCAAUAGAAAGAGCACAUAAAAUUAUGUUGGCAAUGCUAAAUCUAAUGAUUUUGUUUCUCCUUUUUAUAAUUAUUUUAAGCAGGUGGUGCCCUGUUUGUACCGACUGCUGAAGCCGUGGAGGAGUUGAAGAGGUUAACUUGUCCUCAGCAAUCGACGCCUGUCCUUCUUGAUGGUUCUAACAAGCAGGUUUGCUCUCAUUCUAUAUUAAUAGUCAAGCUACGAUUUGGCAUUAAAAAUUAUCAAAUUAUCCGGCAGGUUGGAUUUGGCGUUAAAAGUUAAGGAAUCUCGUCAAAAUUUAUUCAUUAACUGUGCUGGAAUUUUCUUUCAAACAGGUUAAUAUCGACAAUGAGCUGAAGUGGAAGCAUCUGUUUUUGUUACUCUCCGACGUAGGCAUUGAAGAUUGUUACAUUUCAUAUCUCAAGCCAGUUUAUGAGGGAAUAAGAAGAUACGAUGGGUAUCGGAUUGUCUGGGUUCCCAUUUUGGAGCAGUGGAACAAAGACAAAGAAAAACAACUUGAGAUGUCUAGGUUGAAGAUGCCGUGGUACACAUUGAAGUGUUUUUCAACCAUACCAGGCAUCAAGUACAUGAAAGAGAAGUGGAAUUACAAGGGUAAGCCUGCGGUGGUGGUGAUGACCAGUGAAGGUAUCGUGAAAAAUGAAAAUGCUUUCCCCUUGAUUAAGAAACGUGGAAUGGACGCCUUUCCUUUCUUUAAGGUACCGUUUGGUACGCAGACGGGGACGGGACGGGACGGGACGGGACGGGACGGGAUAGAAAGGGACUGGACGGAACGGAUAUUCCGUGUUACAUUUGGUACGGAACGGGACAGUUGUUCCGUUCGCCGUUCGGUAUUGACUGAACGGAACCAAAAGAUUAAAAUGACUAAAAUACCCAUGUUCCAUCUAUUGUUUGGUACAAUAUUUAUGCGUGGAACGGGAUGAGACUUUUUUUUUUUUCUUUUCAACUUGUUCAAAUUUGAACACUAUAUGCUUAUCCAUUAUUUGUUUUUCUUGGUCCAAAUUUUAUUAGGUAUAUGUUGUGUUCCACAUGCAACCCCCUUUAAAAUUUGUAAUUCUUCUAUGAUUUAGGUUGAUGAAGUCAGACUUCCUUGAGCCAGUGAAUAUUGGAAGUGAUGAGAUGGCUAGCAUGAAUGAGAUGGCUGGUUCUGUCUCUAUGGUCAUGGUUGCCAUGCAAUGUUGAAAAAAUAUAUAAGUUUAAUGAUCAUACAUGACCUGAACAAACGAGCAUAUAAUUGCACCAUAAGUUAACAUACAUCGUCAUAUAGGGCGAUAAAGGUAAACAAAUGCCUAAAAAAUUACUAAUUCUACCUCAAAGUAGUGCCUCUUGAUCUCCAUCUCAACAUCAAGGCCAGUGAACUCACACAAAUGCCUAUGGGUAAAGGAGUCCUCAGCUCUAAAAACAGUACCAAUCUCAAAAAUACGGCCGAAGUCACCACAUAUAGCCAUCUGCUUGUGAAGCUGAGGCGACUGGGCAAGGCAUGCAUCUUGACCCUUGUAGUUGAGUCUAAAAACAGCAGCUCCACCUUCACUUGAACCAGCAAUCAGUUUUUGGUGAGUGGAUUUCAAAAAAGCCUUCGGAUAUCAAGAAUUGCCUAAAGAUCUACACAACAAUGCAACCGACAUACAGAACUAAACUCUUAACGAUUUUCUCUAGCUUUAAAAAGAUAAAUAGCUGCAAAUGGUGGAAAGACUACUUACAUUGUUGGAUUUGUGACCAAGUGGACAACAAGCCAAAAUACCUUUCGGCUAAUAAAAUAGAAUAAGGAAAAGGGGGACAUCAUUAUGAUGUCUAGCCCUUGAUUUGUGGCUUUUACAAAGGCAAAGAAUAUGUGGCAAUUAUGGGUUUGUUCCUUUUGUUUAUUAUAUGUUUUUGGUUAUGCCUUUGGUGAAGUGGGAGCGGCAGUAGAGGAGAAAAAAGGGAGUUGUUUGUUGACAGCUCUAAUCAGUGAGCAGAGGAGAGAGCAUUCGGCUCUCCCAUUUUAAAUAGAGUUGCUGCCUUCCCCCUUUGUUAGUGAUCACUCAAUCAAAGAUAUUUGUGCUACAUGUUGUGGCUUUUGGGAGAGAAGGAAUUUGGUAUAUGUUUCCAUUUUCUCCAUUUGUUCUUUGUUUUAGUGAGAGCUAUUGGGUGUAUGUGGGAUUUGGGUUUGAGAGUUAAAACUCUAUUUGUAAUCUCCUUUUGAUAUUAGUGGAAUUUCCUCGCCGUCUCGGAACUGGACGUAGGCUUACGCCGAACCAGUAUAAAUCCUUGUGUUCUUUGGAUUAUUUGUCUUGUCAUAUUUUACUGUAUUAGCUUAUUGGUUUCAUAUUUGACGCUUCCACACAACAUACAUUAGUUGCAAAUGGUGGAAAGACUACUUACAUUGCCAACUUGACUCUUAAUGCGGAAUAUCCCCUGAUUCGCAGGUGUUCGCAAAUCAAGAACUUGGUUAUUCAAGCGGGUAUCCUGAUUAACUCGAACAAGUGUUUCUCCGGCCUAUAAACCCAUCAUACCACCCAAUGAAUAUACACGUACUAAGAGAGAAAGUCCCAGAAAGCUAAACAAAGCUUCAAUAAUCCAUUUCAAAAUAAAUCAUCUAAAUGUACCUGCAAAGCCUUUUCGAUUUCAACAUCACUCCGAGAAGCAUCCUCAAUGUUAAUAGGUAAAUAAAACAGCAGCCUUACUCACACAAUACAACUUCCUCACUUGAACCUCCACCUAAUUAAGAUCAACAUCUCAAUUAUUUCAAUCAAAACCCAUUACAAUCAUAGGAACUUUCAAUCCAUUUCUUUCUUGUUUUUUCUUUUUUCCAUUUUUUUUUCAAGAACCUAAUUAAUAUUAUUAUUUAUUCAUCAAUUUCUUCUGAAAAUCCAUGGAUAUCAUCACCAUCAAUCACCCCAAAAUCCCCAGCAGAAAAACAACCUUGUUUCCACCCAAACCCCACCCACUGUUUUCAUUGCCUAAACCCAGCAUGACCCGUCCAACCCAAAACCCAGCGAAGAAUGCACUCGCACUCCCAGUUGCACAAAUCUUAACAAAACCCAGUAAUUAACAAAUCAAAUCUGAUAAUUAACAAAACCCAGUAAUUAACACAACCCAAAUCAGCAACAAAAGAUAUCAAUCGUAUAGCUGGGUCAAUCUGCAGUGCAACGGUAGUGGCUCCGUGCUGCUGCGUGCCGCCUGGGUGCAGUUGACGGCUAUGGGAGAGGAUGAAGAAGAAGGAUGAGGAGGAAGUCUACAGGAAGAGAGAGCAGCGGCAGAGAAUGGAUUUAGGGUUUGUUUUUAGGAUUUGAAUGGUGUAAAUUUUGAAAAAGACAAGGAGCAUUUUUAUCUUAAAAUGUUAAAAAUUUGUGUCCCACGGACAUGGAACAAGCCGUUCCAGGGGGGAGGUGGAACCAAAAAUCAUCCAAAACUUGUCCCGUGGAACGCCUCGUCCCACUCGUUUUAGGCGCACCAAACGUGGGACGGAACGCCUCGUCCCACUCUGUUCCAUCCCGUCCCGUGUACCAAACGUGCCCUAAAUGAGUUAUGUAAUGAUACUUACUACUACGGUGGCUACACCGCAUGCUGGUAAUAAACUGUGCAGCUGCCUAUUUUUCCUAAAAUAAGGAGCAGUUUUAUUUGUGAAUUGACAUGUUGAUAAUUGUUUGAAUAAUCGGAAUCAUUAAUUUGAAACGAAUGUUUAGCUUUCAUUCAAUCGCUUUAAUUACUUAGAUAAUAUGCAUGAGAUCGCAUGAACUUCUUGUUGAUAUUAUUGUAAUUGAUUGACAUAUAUCAUGCAGUGUAAACUUUGAGAGGGAUCGAUAUAUGAGUCAUGUGGUUUAUAUGGGCUUGCGUCGUGAUGAAUGGAAACGUAGAAUUCAACCCCCUACGUAGAAUCCAUGGGUGUUAAUUCACAUAAACCAACACACAAGGGGACGAGUAGUAUAAGCACGGUAUAUACGGGACGUGUGAGAUCUAUGUAUUUUGGAGUAUGAAUUAACGAGGAUAGAGGUGGGAAUGAGGAAUGCAUUUAUUAACAUAUGUUUAGAAAUAUGGAAAAUAAUUAGGGAGCUUUAAUGAGUGUUGAUUUUAAUUUGGAAACAACAUUUUAGUUUGGGCAAUUUUUUUUGAGUUUAUGUCAUGUCUUAUGAGUUAAAUAAUACAACCUUGCAUCAUUUAAAACAAGGGAGUUUUAAUAAAACACUCCCGGUACUGUUCACUUUUAACGAAAAACCACAUUUUUACCUUUACCUGACACUAUUCACUAUACCUUUAAAAAGUGUUUUUCAUUAAAAAUGAAGUUUUUUUGAACUUUUCGUUAGUUUUCUUUUAAAAGAAACUAAGUAAUAAUAUUUAAAGAAAUAAUGGUCAUCAUUUCUAGACAAUGACACUAUUCUUAGAAAUAGUGGUCACCAUGUACCACAUUGACAUAUAACACAUUACGUGCAAUAUAUGAAUAUAUGAAAGACGUAGUAUUUUAGUAGUUUUGACAAUUUUGGGUUGGAAAAUAUUAUAUAUAAUUACGUAUAUUAUAAGAUACAAGGUGCAUGAUAUGCAGAUGCACAAUAGCAGGAAGUAUAUAUAUGUAUGCAUGUACCUGAAAGAAACCUAGUUCCAUAGAAUCCAUCCUAAUAAGUGGAUUUUGAAGUGGAUUUUGCAAAGAGGAAAGGUCAACUACCGGGAUUUGUGAAUGAGGAAGAACAUAGUGUGAGUGCAAUAGUAAACUAGCUGGGACAAGGACUCGGUAAGGUGACAGGGAGAGAGAGAUUGGGGACAGGUGAGAGUAGAGAAGAGCGAGAGAAAGUUGAUGGUAACAGCUGAAGAAUAAGAGAGAGAUUGGGGAGGGGUGACGGUAGAAUGAUGGGACGUGAGGGUUCGCGUGUUAGUUUUUUUUAAUUUUUUGAUUUUGUAUAUAAUUAAUAAGAGUUACAAUUCUAACAAAAUAUAUUAAUAAUAUUCAUUGCAAUGUUUGAAUUCAAAUUUAACAAUUUUAAUAAUAUAUUAGUAUAUGUCCACACAUAAAGUGUGAAAUUUUUUAUUUUCAUUUUUUAAAUUGAAAGAGAAGGAAAAGAAGUGUGAGAGAACGUUAAAUUGGGAGAGAGGAGGAGAGACAAAGAGAUUUAUUUUAUAUAUUUUUAAAAAUUAGAGACGUUAAAAAUCAUUUGUAGACGAGAGUUAAACAAUUUUUUUUUUAUGUGAAAUUACAUUACUGCUUUUAAUUUUGUUGUUGUGACAAAAAAUUAAAUAUCCAUUUCGUCAUCUUUUAGUUGAUAAUUUUUUUUUAUUAAUAUGUAGUUUAGAUUAACAAUAAUUAUGAGAACCAUGAAAAUGAUCUCGUUUGCUAAAAUUUUGAAAUAAGCCGAGAAGGGCAGUCUUGGCGCCCAUAGACUGAAAACCAAACGACAUUUCAUCCCCAAACGCGAAACCCGCAACACUCUCUCUCUCUCUCUCCACUACCCAUGGAGGAGACCGCCAUCAUUUCAAAACUUGAAGCUUCCAGCUCCACCGGCCUUCAUCCCCUCGUCGCCGCCUACCUUCAGCCGUUUACCCCAACUCCAUAACCCCCCAAAAACCAAAAAAUCAACCGAAUCCCAAGCCCCCCAAACCCUCCGCUCCCUUGCCAAGAAAUUCCUCCCCUUCCUCAACCGCGCGCUAUCCCUUCUCCCCAAACGCCUCGCCGACCCCUCAAAGUUAGAUGACGAAUUUGCCCUCGAACUCUUCGAUAUUUACCGGCUUUACCUCGACUGCCUGGCCGCCGUGUCCCCUGUGUUGUCCGCUUCGCCGUGCUCGUUUCACUCCCAGAGGGGGAGGAUGGUGAGUUGCCUGGUGGCAUGUGGGCGGUACGAGGAUGCGGAGAGUGAGUGGUUUAGGGUUUUGGAGAGCCUUAAGGCGAUUGAAUUUGGGUCGAAGAAAUCGGUGAAAUCGGACCGGAGAUUUGUGCCGGAUGUGAAAUCGGACCGGAGAUUUGUGCCGGAUGAUAUGACUCCCGAGGAACAAUAUAUAUUGCAUUUGCCAAUAGUCCAAUAUUUUUGAAUCUAUUUUGUUGUUCUAAUUAAUACAGAGGAGGCAAAGGCCAAGGCCGAGGAAGAGUUUUGGAAACAAAUACGCACUGCCCCUUAUGAAAUUACCGAGGUUUUCCAAAGGCUGGUUCUUUUCAAGCAUAAAGCGUAUCCGCAGCCUCCCAUCAUCAGUGUUAAUCCCACUAACAAGGAGGUUUGGUCCCCUAGCACAUUGAUUUUCUUCGUAUCUGUGUUACUACUCAGCAACUUAUUUAACUGUAGUUAUCUUCUUUUUUUUGGGUAAUCCCGGACACCGAAAAACACAAAACUAUCUGAGAAGUACAAACUAGGCGGUUUUUACCAAACCCCAAAAUAUCAUUAGACAAAACAUCACCAAUCCAAACAUGAGGUUCUUCACGAAAACAAAAACCCAGAUCAAAGUUGUAGCUCCAAUUGGCUAGACAGUCUGCAACAAACACACAAAUCUCAUACCAAAAACACAUGUUCAACCUUGCAGCUCCAACACCGAUUUCUACCCUCUCAUCUUUCUUCACGGUCUCCCCUCUCCCUAUACUUUCUCACUACCCAGUAUCCGUUUCUUUAAUUUUGCAUCAGAAAUUAAGGAAAAUAAGGAAAGAUAAAUCGUAUAUAUCAAAUAAAAAAAUGAUACAUCCAAAUGAAAAUUUAAAUCACUCUGGACUCCAACUCGAAAUAACCGAUUUGAGUAACCCGGCGAUUGAAUCGAAAAUACCAACAAUCAUAUUUAUCUUUCCGCCGUCAAGCUCCGCACCAGAAAGACAUCGUUUCCUCCAUAAGAUACAAAGAGAGACCAUACGACGGAAACCACGGAGAUGAGGAAAAAACUUAAUUUAUCUGUCAGUGUACUCUUCCCACAAUCUGAUGGAAGCAACGAGCGAAGCAGAGCACAAACGACGGAAUUGAAAGACGUUCAAGAAGUUGGAAGUUAUCAGAUGCAGUGACAGUGCGAGACAAAGAAUCGGGUAUUUUUUUUGUUACGUCUUUAUUGAAAGUGCACAAAAACACCUUCAAUUAAUGGAUGUGGUAACGGAUGCUAAUUAAAGGGUUGAUCCAAAAUGACCUGUUAUUUAACUAGUCCAUCCGUUAACAAUCCGACUCAUUAAGCAUUCACUAAAACAUUAAUCUUAACGAAUGAGCUGGGUCGAGUUAACAGAUUGGGUCUUAAAUGCCAAGUCUACCUAGGACAUUGAUUUUUUUCCAUAUAUGUAAUACUACUCAGAAACUUAUUUAAUUGUAGUUAUCUUAUUUUAUCUAUUUUUCACGUGCAGGUUUUUAACAUUAAUGUGCUAGAGUGGAAGUGGGUGUUAUUUUUACAUUUCAAGCCUGGACAAUGUUUCUGAUCAAGAAAUUUCAUGUCUCAAAGAAGUGUAUGAGGGAAUCGAAGAGCGUAACGAGUGUGUGAUUGUGUGGAUCCCUGUUGUUGAGGACUGGACUGAAGGAGGAGAAGAGCAGUUUAAGGAAUGGAGGUCUAAGAUGCCAUGGUACGCGGUGCAAUAUUUUUCGCCCCCGGCCAGUGGGUACCUUGAGCAGCGGUGGAACUUCAAAGGUAAUCCUAUGGUGGUGGUGAUGAACUGGGAAGGAGAGGUGGCAAUCAGCAACAUAAUCGACUUGAUUCGGACACAAGCAACGAAGGCAAUCGCUUUGCUUAACGUUAAAAUGCAAAAAGAAAUACCGCGGGGUAAGUGGACCAUUUAAUUCAAAAGGAAGAGCACAUAAAAUUAUGUUGGCAAUGCUAAAUGUAAUGAUUUUGUUUCUCCUUUUUAUAAUUAUUUUAAAUCGCUUUAAUUACUUGGAACGAAUGCUAAAGCAGUGGAGGCUGCGCAAUCCUCAUUUGGAACGAAUGCUGAAGCUGUGGAGGUGUUGAAGAGCUUAACUUGUCCUCGGCAAUUCACUAAUACUGAUGCGACGCCUGUCCUUCUUGAUGGUUCUAACAAGCAGGUUUGCUCUCAUUCUAUAUUAAUAGUCUAGCUACGAUUUGGCGUUAAAAAUUAUCAAAUUAUUCAUUAACUGUGCUGGAAUUUUCUUUCAAACAGGUUAAUAUCGACAAUGAGCUGAAGUGGAAGGAUCUGUUUUGUUACUCUCCGACAUAGGCAUUGAUUAUUGUUACAUUUCAUAUCUCAAACCAGUUUAUGAGGGAAUAAGAAGAUACCCAUCGUAUCGGAUUGUCUGGGUUCCCGUUGUGGAGCAGUGGAACCAAGACAAAGGAUAACAACUUGAGACGUCGAGGUUGAAGAUGCCGUGGUACACAUUGAAGUGUUUUUCAACCAUACCAGGCAUCAAGUACAUGAAAGAGAAGUGGAAUUACACGGGUAAGCCUGCGGUGGUGGUGAUGACCAGUGCAGGUAUGGUGAAAAAUAAAAAUGCUUUCCCCUUGAUUAAGAAACGUGGAAUGGACGCCUUUCCUUUCUUUAAAUGAGUUAUAUAAUAUCAUUACUACGGUGGCUACACCGCGUGCCGGUAAACUGUGCAGCUGCCUAUUAUUCCUAAAAUAAGGAGCAGUUUUAUUGUAUCAGUUUUAUUGUAUCUACUAUCUAGAUCACCGUCCACCCGCAUGAUGUAUCCUGUGGUUAUUAAUAUUUGUGAACUUACAUCUUGAUAUUUGUUUGGAUAAUCGGAAUCAUUAAUCUGAAACGAAUGUUUAGCUUUCAUUCAAUUGCUUUAAUUACUUGGAUAUAAUAUGCAUGAGAUCACAUGAACUUCUUGUUGAUAUUAUUGUAAUAAUUGAUUGAUAUAUAUCAUGCAGUGUAAACUGUGAGAGCGAUCAAUAUAUGAGUCAUGUGGUUUAUAUGGGCUUGCGUCGUGAUGAAUGGAAACAUAGAAUUCAACUUUGCGACUAAGAGAAACAUACUUUUUUUAUUUUCAAAGGACAAUAAUAAGUGAAUGUUAUAUCGUGGGUGUUAAUUCACAUAACCAAACACAAAGGGACGACUAGUAUAAGCAAGGUUUAUACGGGAUGUGUGGGAUCUAUGUAUUUUGGAAUACAAAUUAACAAGGAUAGAGGUGGGAAUGAGGAAUGCAUUUAUUAACAUAUGUUAACAUACUUGGGACUUGGGAGAAUGAAGGAAUGAUAGAACUUAGAAAUAUGGAAAAUAAUUAGGGAGCUUUAAUGAGUGUUGAUUUUAAUUUUGGAAAAUGGUCACCAUUUCUAGACAAUGACACUAUUUUUAGAAACAGUGGUCACCAUGUACCACAUUGGCAUAUAAUACAUGACGUGCAAUAUACGAAAGACGUAUUAUUUUUGUAAUUUUGACAAUUUUGGGUUAGAAAAUAUUUAUAUAAUUACGUAUAUUAUAAGAUACAAGGUGCAUGAUGUGCAGAUGCACAAUAGCAGGAAGUAUAUAUAUGUAUGCAUGUACCUGAAAGAAACCUGGUUCCAUAGAAUCCAUCCUAAUAUUGAUGGUAAUUUGAGGACUAAGAAGUGGAUUUUGCAAAGAGGAAAGGUCAACUACCGGGGAGUGGAGCUGAUAAUUUGGGACAAGGACUCGGGCCUCGUGAAUGAUGGGAUGUGUUAGUUUUUUUUAAUUUUUAAUUUUGUAUAUAAAUAAUAAAAAGUUAACAAUUCUAACAAUAUAUUAAUAAUAUUCAUUGCAACGUUUGAAUUCAAACUUGACAAUUUUAAUAAUAUACUAAUAUAUGUCCACAUAUAAAGUGUGUGAAAUUUUUUAUUUUUGUUUUUAAAAUUGAAAGAGAAGGAGAGAACGGUAGAUUGAAAGAGAGGAAGAGAGACAGAGAGAUUUAUUUUUAAUUUUUAUAUAUUUUUUAAUUUUUAAUAUUUUAAAAUUUGAGAUGUUAAAAUCACUUGUAGGUGAGUGUUAGACAAAAAAUAGCAAAAUUUUGUUAUGUAAAAAUACAUUACUGCCCUUAAUUUCUUUGUUAUAUUAGAAGAUUAGAUAAUCUUUUCACCAUCUGUGAGUUGACAAAGAAAAUUCUAUUAAUAUUUAGUUUAGAUUAACAAUAAUUAUGGAAGCAUGAAAAUGAUCUCAAUUGCUAAAAUUUUGAAAUAAGCCGAGAGGGGCAGUCUUGGCGCCCAAAGACUGAAAACCAGACGACAUUUCAUCCCCAAACGCGAAACCCGCAACUCUCUCUCUCCACCACCCAUGGAGGAGACCGCCAUCAUUUCAAAACCUCGUCGCCGCCGACCUUCUGCAGUUCACCAAACUCCAGAACCCCCCAAAAACCAAAAAUCAACCAAAUCCCAAACCCUCCGCUCGCUCGCCAAGAAAUUCCUCCCCUUCCUCAAUCGCGCGCUAUCCCUUCUCCCCAAACGCCUCGCCGACCCCUCAAAGUUAGAUGAGGAAGUUGCCCUCGAACUCUCCGAUAUUUACCGGCUUUGCCUCUACUGCCUGACCGCCGUGAUGUGGUGAUGUGGAAAAUGUGAGUAAAUUUAAAUCUAAAAGUGCCUAAAUGGAAAAGUGUGCAUGUGAGUGUGAAUGAAUCCAUUUCACACGUGAUGUUAGAGCAUAAGUAAAGUACAGUAAAAGUAGAAUAAGAAUUAUACCAUUGAAGGUACUCUCCUAUACCAACUUUUGCCAAGAAUCCUUGUCGACACGUAAGCUCUACUACUAAAACUUGGAGAGGAGAAAAACAAGGGUGAGUGGACCUAAAAAUAAAACUUUGUAAAGCCUUUUUGAAAACGUAAUAACCCCUCGCCAUAAAACAAGUAUAGUUUCCAAAUAUAUAUACUACAUAUAGCAUGAAAAUAUACCGUAGCCAGCAAUAUCACAAGAAUGCAAUACGUCGCAAUAUUGCGUAAAUAAACAUAUAACGACCGAUAUCACAUAAUCUCGCAUAAGCAAACAUAUCAUAUCGAGUGCUCAUCGACAUAUGCUGACAUACGAGUUCAUGUAGAGAUAUUUUGACCAGAACAUGGCUAGGUGUAAUAAUGAUUUACGCUCUAGUACUACAAUCACGUGAAGACUGGAGCUAUGUGCAUCACAUACGAGUCCUAAUUGCCUAUAGCAAUCUAGGACAGGACUGGCACCUACAAUGGAUCCAAAGUGAGCAUGCGGUACGAUGUGAACAUUCACAUGAAGACUGGCCCUGGCCCGGGCAAGUACUAACACUAGUGUAGCAUACAAUGAACAAAUAAAGUAAAUAUGAUCAUGCCAUAAUAAUUCAACACUUCUAGUCAAUAUAACCCUAUUCCUGGUCGUAAAUAUAAUUAAGGCAUCCCCUUAUGGUAUGCUUAUAUAUACACAUAUAUAUACAUACUAUAUAAAAGAAAAUACUCACUCACAGAUACUUGCAAGGUUGUAGCUGUUCUGACAAGAGAAGCCGGAAUCUUCGAUAGUAAUCGAUUCUAAGCAUAAUAUUGGGUGUCGUUAGUAAGACUCAAUUGAAACAAUUAAAUUUGGGAAAAUAGAACGUUGAAAUAUGCUAACAAGGGUCCCGGACAAAUUUCAUAAAAAGUCAACCAAGACGCCAAACCGGUCAACUACGUUAAAACUUAGAAAUUUGACUAAAUAGAUGUCAAAAAGGGACUCGGGACGUCAAAAUUAGCCUAAGAGGGUUUCCAAGAAAAUUUCACUCUAAAUUUAAACCAAAAUAAAGACAAAAGGACGAGGGAAUCAAAUCUACCUUACCCAAGUAAAAUAAGUGGCCAAAGAGGCCUGAAAAUCACCUGCAAGAAUUGCGGCUCUUGACGAAAAAUAGGGAAUUAGUUUCCCCGAGUUGGUUCUGCGAUCAAACAUCAUUAAAAAUCCUCAAAAUUGGCCUAAUCGUACUCCAAAACAAGAUCUAUGAAGUUCUAGAGGGUUUUCGAACCUUACCUUUGUCGAGAACGGCGAGAAUUCGCGUGAAUAUCGUUGGAAAAGAAAAACGUGAACAAUGGCCUCGAGGAAAAGAGUAAGUGGUGCUGGUUCGACAUGGGGGAGAAAACGACGAUGGUGGUGCUGGCCUGGGUCAUCGAGUGGUAUAGCUCACUGGAGUUAGGGACAUCGAGGGUGGUCCGGUGCCAGUGCUUGCAGAGAUGGACGGAGGGCUAAGGGAGUCCAAGAGAGCAAAGGGAUAGAGAGAAGUUGGGAGAAAAUAGAGAGAUCCAAGUAUUUUUUGGGAUGAGUGACACGUGGCAAGAAAUGAGAGGAGAGUUUGGGUGAGAUGUGGAUCCCACGGCCUAAAAAAAAUAUUAAACAUUAAAAUAACAAUAUAAUAAUAUAAUAUUUAUGAGAAAUAUAUAAAAUAUAAAAUAGUAAUUUUCACCAAAAGUAAGUUCCGUAAAACCGCUAUCGUAACUCCGAUUGCGCCUACACGUUCGUACUGUCGAAUACUUCGAGAAUACGGUAGAAUAAUAGCUCAUACACGUCACAGAAUGGCGGUCAACGAAAGUCAACAGUCUAGCCUCUAGUGCAUUUUUGUCAAUUCUCUUUUUUUUAAUUAAUAAAAUCGUAAAAUUAGGGAUGAGUUUUUACAGAUUUGACUGCAGUUGCAAAAACAAAAAUAGAAAUGCAUAUGUAUGAAUUUCUAGCCAAUAUAGGUUUUGCCCUAAGUGCUCUUUGGAAUGAGGUUAUAAUAUUUCUUAAGAUUCUAGGGACAGAUGUAGUCAAGGGGAUGGCAAAUUAUUAAUAAGAAAAUAAAACGAUCGAAACACGGCCAGCCUUGAGAUUUCAGCAACUCUAUGAGAGAAUUUUCCAAUUUUUGGUUGCCAUAUAAUUGUUUCAGCACAUAGAAAUAAGUUAAAUUGGGGUAGUUAGUUGCACACAUUCCCUUCUUUCUAAGAACGCCUAGGUUCGGACUUGGGGUUUUUUUUUUGAGUUUUUUUUGUUUCCUAAAAAACAAUCUUAGCUUUACAACAAAUUUUUAUGGUAAAAAAAAUACGAGUUGGUAUUGUUGUAUGCAUAAAUAAAAAUAAAAAAUAUAUUGUUUGUACUAAAAAAAAUAUUGUAAAAUAAAAAUGAAUUACAUGCAUACAUGCUUCAGAUUUAACUAAUCAAAAACUUCAUGCUGGAGGAGAAUAGUAUUGCGUAAUGGCGUAUGCAGUCUGCAAUGCGGUGAGAAUCAGAAGGAUAGUUGCUACAAUCCAGGAGGUGGCUUUCCAUGGAUCUGAACAAUAGUUACGCUUCAAUGUUUUUUCGCCACUUCCUCGAUGCUGUUUGGUAAUCCUUCACUCGAGUACAGAGUCCAUCAUAGUAGAAAUAAGUAAGCACCGUGUCGCAGUAAAGCUUGCUGAAGAACUCAGAACCAUUUUCAGCGCUCAGCCAGUUACGUAUAAUUCCCUUGUCGCAGAGAAAUUUUAUAUCGUUGCUAGAACCGAGGAGGUUAUCCAUCAGAACGGCAUAAGAUGUGAUUUUGUGCGAACGACCAUAACAGCAUUGCUCCAAGGCGAUCAGGUUCCUGAAUAUCGAUUCAGUUAACUCUCCAAUUUCUAGAUGCGGAAUCAUAAUAACCCCAUUCUCGCAUUCUAUGUUCAUUAUGCUUUUACAUUUAUCGGAGCUCAUUUUGAAUCUAAUGCCGGCCUCAGAAAGAGCAGUUGCUGAAGCUAUCAGUUGUACCUUUGCAUCGUGGAAAGGUUUCUCGUAGCGUUCAGUGAAGGAGAAAACUAUGGAAGUUCUUAUGAGAUCGAGAAUGUGGACCACACUUUCAUCCUCUUUGUAAUUAUUUUCUCUUAGAUGAUCCAGAUACCACCGGCAGUUAUGGGACAGUUGUGGUUGUGAGCUGAGCGCGGUGAGGAUGAGCACCGAGAGGCAGGGCUCAGGGUUCUGGUAAUACUUGACGGUGAGCUCAUAUACGUCCUGGAGGACAAACCAAGGAAUCUGAUUUUCUAAGAGCAAGAGGUCAUGGCAUAUGUACUGGAACAUGCAAUCCAUGUUGAAUAAAGGGUCAUUAAUGUCCCUCUGUUCCUUAUACACAAACUUCCUAAAUAUUUGUACUAGGAAGCAACCAUCAAGUAUCAUCAUGUGGAGAAACUCCAUUUUCAUCGGAGGAUCAAAUGGAUGUGCAUAAAAAUCACGAGCUUUUUUCUCAAACUCAGACAUGGCUUGUAGUUUCUUGUGAUCUAAAAUGUAAUUGACGAGUUUAUUGAUCGAUGCUUCUAACUCCAUAUCCCUGUCGUGUGACCUAUCCAUGUGUAAGAGAAGGUCGCGCAAAUACUCGUAUUUCAGAUUUUCCAUAGCUUGAAAUUGUACAUUGUCUCGUGGAUGAUAGGGCCCGAUUGAGAUAAUGUCAGGUGCGUAUGCCAGUACGUUAUGUCUGCGGAGAACUUCAGGAACUCUGAAGAUGCACCUGGGAAGCUUUGGCGUCGAGGUGUUCUUCGACGCUUCAAGUAAAAUGUCUAUGUCCAUAGCGAUUAAUUAUGAUUCCAAUCCAAUUGAGCAACCAAAACGCAAAGUACUCUUUUAGCCGGGAAAGCACCACAACUGACAGCAAAACGAAAUCGUUAGGGUUUCAUCCAAAUUAGCAAAAAUUCAAAAUAAAACUGAAAUAAAAUCAUUAUAAAACACACCUUAGCUAAAUAAGAUCGAUUCCGCAGUGAUCUGAAGACAGGCCGCACCCAAAGGGGUGGAAAUCGGCCAAAAUUCCGGCCACAACCCGGAAAUCCCAGAUGGAAAAAAGGACAAACACUGCGAAUAGAUUCGCAGGAUUGAGAAAAUUUAGCAAACGGACGUUGAUAACGGAGACCAGAAAUAUGCAAAGGCUGGAGAAGGAAAAAAGGGAGUGCGAGAGAGAGAGAAGAGAGAUGGAAAUCAGAAAGGAGCAGGAAUGAUGAUCGAUAGGUGGAGAAGAUGCGCAAAAUCGCCAUUUUUCUGUGCAAAAGUGGAGAAAAAUAACACUGAGAAGAUCAUUUUGGGGGCAUUAUCGUCCAGACAUUAUAGAUAAACAGUAACCCAAGUUUUAGUUUAUAUAAUUUUUUUUUUCCUCGCAUAAUUCAGUUUGCAACCCAAAGCUGCAUGACCUUUUUUUUUGGUCAACACAUCAUGUGGACUUAAAAGUAAAAUGUUUUAUUUUUUGGGUUUUUUUUUAUAUCACAAAAGAUUUUUAUUUUUUUGACAACUCAUCCGUUUGAUCUUUUUAUGUUUCAAACUCGCUCCUUUAAUUAUAGUUUUUGUCAUCAAAAUUCCGAUCUAUAACUCGGUCCUAAGAGCAAGUCCACCCAUGGAGCCUUCCCCCCUGACAAUCCAUUAUUGAAUCUACCCUAUUGAACAGUAACUGCCUUAAAUAAAUAGUAACUGCCAUUAAUGAACAGUAAUUGUCAUUUGCAUCUCCACCCUUGGAGCCCUCCCCCUGGCAAUAGACAAUUAAAAUAAUAGUUUUUUUUGUUUGUUUAAAUAAACAAUUAUUUAGCGAAUGAUUUCGAUAAGAUUUUUAUCCAAUGUUAUCGUGUCAUGUGUCGUUAUCUUUUCAGAAUCUUUGGUAAAAAUAAAUAAUUUUUUAUACAUUAAAAAUAUUAUAAUAUUAAUCCAAUUAAAAAAAAUUAAAAAAAAUUAAAAAAAAAAAAAACAGAAACCCGAACCCAGAUCCAUUUCUUCCACCUCUCCUCCCACCCCCGAGAACCCCCUGCAAAAACCAGAACCCAGCUACCUCCCCCCCCGGCCGCGACGACCCACCCCCACCCCCCCCCCGCGACGACCCACCCCCCCCCCGCGACGACCCACUUCCCUUCCGCACCCAUGGAAGCCCAGCUCCGGUCCCUCUCUCUCUCUCUCUCUCUCUCUCUGACACAAAAAAAAUCUCUGGUCCCCCCUCUCUCUCUCUCUCUCUCUCUGACACAAAAAAAAAUAAAAAAUUGCAAAGCCCUCGGGCCACAGGCCCGUCGACUCCCCACCCCCCCUUCGCUCGGGCUCCCACCGUCGCUCGGGCUCCACACGGCUGGAGCUCAGUCCACAUGGCCUCGGGCCCUUUCCUCUCCACUGUCCCCCGAGCAACCAGCAAGGCUGGAGUUGCUCUAAAAGUGAAUGUCAUGGAUAAUUUUGAUGACCAAAGCAAUAGUUAAAGAACCAAACUGAUGAGUUGUCAAAUAACUGGUUUGUUCACCUUUUGCAUUUCAACUUAAUCAUCCAUUUUACGUAAAAACCCACAGAGACUAGUAAACCUAAAGGGGUAAUUACACAAACACCCAUUGAAGAUUUCUAUGUUUUCACAAAACUCGCUCAGAUUUAUAAACUUACAUUAAUACCCCCUAAGAUUUUAAUUCAUUUUCACGUAAACCCUUCAAGGACAAGUUUACCCUCAUUGCUAAUUAAUUAAAAAAAAAUUAAUAGAAAAAAUCAAAUUUGUUACAGUCUUAUUAGAUUAGAAAAAGUCAAACAUGUUGACUAAAUAGAAACCAUGUUGGAUAGUGGCCAACUUGGCAUCCACUUUCGGCUAAGAGCAAUUCCACCCUUAAAAAAAUGCGCCAGCACCCAGCCCAUUUAAUCCACUUACUGAACAGUGAUAGACCAUAAUGAACAAUAAUAGACCAAAUGCAUCUCCACUCCUAAAACUAAAUAGCCUAAUCAAUUUUAUUAAAAUUUUAUUAAUUUUUAUUAUAAAAUAAUAAAAAUUAAUCACUCUCUCCCUAACAAUCUUCAACCUCACCUCAAUCACUCUCUGACUCACCCGAUUCCCACAAUCCAAUCCACACCCACAUCUUCCUGCAUCUCAUUUCACAGCUAUACUCCACAAUUGCAGUCGUAGUGGGACGAAAUCUUGACGUCUCUACAUCUCCACAUCUUCCUCGCUUUGCCCCUCCCAUUUGCUUCAUCUUCCUUGCUUCACCCAUCCCACUAAGCUCAUUUUGAGUUUUUCGCCGUUGGGAGAAUACCCAAAUACCACAGCCCAAUUGAAAAUCGGCCGGCGAGAUCUUCGAAUUGGGGUGGAAGGAAAGCAGAGAGCUUCAAAUUCAGCUCAAGGAGGAGUGGCGGUAUCGCCUGGGGUCAUGUAGGCCGGGCAAGGGCUCAACACAUUCUGAGCCAACCUAGAUACCAGCUUGGGCUGGUAUUAGGAAAUAUUUUUCAUUACUCAAAAGAAUAACUUUACACUUGGGUUUUAUACAAAAGCAUCACAGCUUAACAUAAAAGGAAUCACUACCAAAACUAACUUAAUAUUCCUUAUCAUUACUUAAUCCCUAAGUAUUAUUCUUGAAGGUGUAAUUACAUUUUUGUCCCUAAUACUGGGUGCCAGCCUAUCUGCUCGGCUGGAUACUGGGAACCAGCCUAAAGGUUCCCCGAGGGUGCGUUUGGUACGCAGACGGAACGGAACGGAAUGGGACGGGACGGGACGGAACGGGACGGGACGAGACGGAACGAAGGUGUAAUUUUUGAAAAAGACAUGGGGUAUAUUUGUCUUAAAAUGGUAAAACAUUGCGUUCCACAAACGUGGAACAAACCCGUUCCAGGGGGGAGGUGGAACGCAAAAACACUCAAAAUCUGUCCCGUGGAACAGCCCGUUCCACCCAUUUUUGGCGCACCAAACGCGGGACGGAACGCCUCGUCCUGUUCCGUCCCGUCCCGUCCCACGUACCAAACGCACCCCGAUAGAACUGCUCUCAGAAAUAAAAGGGGAGACAUCAAGGGGACAAUGCUUGUUUUUCUUUUUGACUUUUGCAAAUGGAAAAAGGCUAUGUUUUCGGUGAAAGCACCAUUCUUUUGUUUUUUUUUUAGGAAAAUGUGAAAGCACUAUUCUUCUUUUUUUUUUUUUUUUUUUUUUUUUUUUUUUUUUUGGAAACGUGAAAGCACCAUUCUUUGGUGAAAAGAAUAGUGUGGUCUUUUGUUUUCUGAGAGAAAAAAGAGAGAGCUACGCAGAGCUCAAAAUUGGCAGAGAGUUGAGAGCACAGAGGGUGCACCAGAAAAACAGAGAAGGAGCGGAUGAGUAAGAGGAUGAAUGGGGGUGAGGGUGAGGGUGGUGAACGGAUCAGCCUUUUCGACAGGUCUCAAAACGAAAUCAUGAAGCUCAUUUUUGCAGUGAAUUACCGUGUUCCUGAUGAGGGCCAUGCCAGCUUUGAUGUUCAUGCUAUUUUCUCGACUAGUCAGAAAAUCAUUAAGGAUUCGGCCAACAUCAUUCACAAUAUUAAUGAGCAGGUAUUUAUACUGCUGCUCCUUUCUAUCUACUCUUAAUAACUUUAAGCAGUAAGAAAAUAGUGCUCAUUUAGUUUUAUUUAUUUUUUAUUUUUAAAUAGUGGGUACUCGACAACUCUAAACUGUUCGUGUUUUUUUUUUUCUUCUUUUUAUAUUUUUUCCUUACGACUGUUUUUUGUUUCUUCCCGUUCUGACUGUUAUGUUAUGAGAAUUACACUACGGACAAACUUCUAAUUGCAAACUUGAAACUUGACUCGAUUUAUUGAUCAGCAGUACCCAAAAAUAGCCAAAAUGUUACAUGUAUAGGACAAGGAUCCUCGCCGGAUCAUUUUUUUAGGGAUCCUAAAAAUUCCGCAAUCGUGUCCGUUCAUCAUACAUUAUGGAGUUAGUUUUCGUUAGGUACUUUUAUAUUUGAAUUUUAAAUUUUAAAUAAUUUCUGACUACACAAGAUAAACGAAUACGAUUGCGGGAUCUCUAGGAUCCAUAGGAAAAGGAUCCUCGCCGGAUCCUUUUCCACAUCAAUAGGAUUGCUUGAUUUGUGAAAAAAAAAAAAAAAAAAAAAACUCAGAUUAAAUGUUUAAAGAAAUGCACUUCAGUAAUGUCUUAGUGUUUAAGAAUAAUUAGAUAUUAGUUGAAACACCCAAAGAUGUUUACCACUUUUGCAUGUCUUAUCGCAGGGCAGCGGAUUUAAUGAUGUUGAAACACCCAAAGCCAGCUCCAGCUUGUGCACUCUUAUUAAGGAGAAAUUUUUAAAUGUGACGGGAACACGAUUCGGUACCUCAAGUAUCAUAAUACGAGUGGUUGGAAAUUGGAUAAAAAAAAAUUUCAACAACUUGUUUUAUGACACUCGGUGUACCGACCCAUAUUCCCGGCACUUUGAAAAAUCUCUUCUUAUUAUUAACUCCUUUGGCUGCAAGGUCAUCAUAUUAACUGAAUGCUAUUUUCCUUUUGUUCUUAAUUUGGUAAUCCUUUUAGUAAUUACUGGUGAAAAUGAAAAUGUUGUUUAAUUUUUGUUUAAGACAUAAAUGUCAUUACCAAAUAUCUUUGAUUGAAGUUUGAUGUUAAAUUAAUUAGAUUUUUUAGUUUAUUUUUUUUAGCACUUUUAAUCAUAGCUUUCAUUGAUGCACCUUCCAAUGGAAAAGUGUUUUAUCCAAAGAUGAAAAUCCUAUUGUCCCGUUUUAUGUUGUUAACAACACUAUGAUGCAAUUUCAGAUGUCGUGUAAGAGUUCAGGUGAUGAAACUUCCUUUGAAUCACGUACGGAAGAAAUACUUACAAAACUAUCGAGUUAUCCAUGUGAAGUACAGGUAGUAUUGGCCCUGGCAGUUUUUGCUUUGGAAUAUGAAGAAUGUUCCAGUCAACUUUCCAAGAAAUCGACAACGCUGAAACGCCAAGAUGCAGUAGUCGAGCUUAACAAUCUGGUCAACCAAGCGUUACAAGUGAUUGAGCACAUCCUUGAGUUGGAGAAACUAGUUUCUUAUGAUCGAGACAGUGAACCAAAAUUGGCGAGGGUAAUUAUGGAUACCCCAUUUAAUGCCUACUGGUCAAUCAUAACUCUUGUAGCUUGCGCAACUGAGCUCUUUUUUCUUACCGGUGAUGAG
rnacentral:lncRNA from 1 species